GACGAACGCUGGCGGCGCGCUUAACACAUGCAAGUCGAGCGAAGCGGCGGACGGGUGAGUAACACGUGAGUAACCUGCCUUAGACAUUGGGAUAGCCUCGGGAAACCGGGAUUAAUACCAAAUGGUCUAAGAUGGGCUCGCGUCCCAUUAGCUAGUUGGUGGGUAACGGCCCACCAAGGCGACGAUGGGUAGCCGGCGUGUGAGGGUGAGCGGCCAAAUGGCAACGUGGAAACAGUCCAAACUCUACGGAAGGCAGCAGUGGGGAAUAGUGCACAAUGGAGUGAACUCUGAUGCAGCGACGCCGCGUGAACGAAGAAGGCUUUCGAGUCGUAAAGUUCUUUUAUAUGGGAAGCGGUACCAUAAGAAAAAGCCCCGGCUAACUACGUGCCAGCAGCCGCGGUAAUAC
rnacentral:rRNA from 1 species